rnacentral:rRNA from 1 species
CUGGCUCAGGACGAACGCUGGCGGCGUGCCUAAUACAUGCAAGUCGAGCGGAGUUGAUGAGGUGCUUGCACCUCUGAUACUUAGCGGCGGACGGGUGAUAUAACACGUGGGUAACCUGCCUGUAAGACUGGGAUAACAUUCGGAAACGAAUGCUAAUACCGGAUACGCGAUUUGGUCGCAUGACCGAAUCGGGAAAGAUGGAGCAAUCUAUCACUUACAGAUGGACCCGCGGCGCAUUAGCUAGUUGGUGAGGUAACGGCUCACCAAGGCGACGAUGCGUAGCCGACCUGAGAGGGUGAUCGGCCACACUGGGACUGAGACACGGCCCAGACUCCUACGGGAGGCAGCAGUAGGGAAUCUUCCGCAAUGGACGAAAGUCUGACGGAGCAACGCCGCGUGAGUGAUGAAGGUUUUCGGAUCGUAAAGCUCUGUUGCCAGGGAAGAAUGCUUGGGAGAGUAACUGCUCUCAAGGUGACGG